AAGGCUUUAAGUUAAUAUAAACUAAUGGCCUUCAAAGCUAAAAAUAUUAGAAACAUCUUUUAAGCUUUA
rnacentral:tRNA from 1 species